CGGUAACAGCCCGGUAGUUGAAAUGGCUUUCCCUCCAGAGUGGAUCCUGAGUACGGCGGAACACGUGAAAUUCCGUCGGAAUCCGGGAGGACCAUCUCCCAAGGCUAAAUACUCCCUAGUGACCGAUAGUGAACCAGUACCGUGAGGGAAAGGUGAAAAGCACCCCGGAAGGGGAGUGAAACAGUUCCUGAAACCGUGUGCCUACAAGUAGUUAGAGCCCGUUAAUGGGUGAUAGCGUGCCUUUUGUAGAAUGAACCGGCGAGUUACGAUUUGUUGCAAGGUUAAGCGGAAAAAGCGGAGCCGUAGCGAAAGCGAGUCUGAAUAGGGCGCAUAAGUAACAGGUCGUAGACCCGAAACCAGGUGAUCUACCCAUGUCCAGGAUGAAGGUAAGGUAAUACUUACUGGAGGUCCGAACCCACGCACGUUGAAAAGUGCGGGGAUGAGGUGUGGGUAGCGGAGAAAUUCCAAUCGAACUUGGAGAUAGCUGGUUCUCUCCGAAAUAGCUUUAGGGCUAGCCUCGAGGUAAAGAGUCAUGGAGGUAGAGCACUGUUUGGACUAGGGGCCCUUCUCGGGUUACCGAAUUCAGAUAAACUCCGAAUGCCAUGUACUUAUACUCGGGAGUCAGACUGCGAGUGAUAAGAUCCGUAGUCGAAAGGGAAACAGCC
rnacentral:rRNA from 1 species